GACAGAGGGGGCAAGCGUUGCUCGGAAUCACUGGGCGUAAAGGGCGCGUAGGCGGCCUGCUAAGUCGGAUGUGAAAUCCCUCGGCUCAACCGAGGAACUGCAUCCGAUACUGGCGGGCUUGAAUCCGGGAGAGGGAUGUGGAAUUCCAGGUGUAGCGGUGAAAUGCGUAGAUAUCUGGAGGAACACCGGUGGCGAAGGCGGCAUUCUGGACCGACAUUGACGCUGAGGAGCGAAAGCCAGGGGAGCAAACGGG
rnacentral:rRNA from 1 species